rnacentral:rRNA from 1 species
UGGGGAAUCUUCCGCAAUGGACGAAAGUCUGACGGAGCAACGCCGCGUGAGUGAAGAAGGUUUUCGGAUCGUAAAACUCUGUCUUUUGGGGCGAACGUGAGUAUGGUGAACAAUCAUAGUCAGUGACGGUACCAAAGGAGGAAGCCACGGCUAACUACGUGCCAGCAGCCGCGGUAAUACGUAGGUGGCAAGCGUUGUCCGGAAUUAUUGGGCGUAAAGAGCGCGUAGGCGGGAUAGUCAGUCUGUUGUAAAGUGCGGGGCUCAACCCCGUGAUCGCAAUGGAAACAGCUAUUCUUGAGUGCAGGAGAGGAAAGUAGAAUUCCCAGUGUAGCGGUGAAAUGCGUAGAUAUUGGGAGGAACACCAGUGGCGAAGGCGACUUUCUGGACUGUGUCUGACGCUGAGGCGCGAAAGCCAGGGGAGCGAACGGGAUUAGAUACCCCGGUAGUCCCGGCCGUAAAACGAUGGGUACUAGGUGUGGGAGGUAUCGACCCCUUCCGUGCCGGAGUUAACGCAAUAAGUACCCCGCCUGGGGAGUACGGUCGCAAGACUGAAACUCAAAUGAAUUGACGGGGUCAUAGCUGUUUCCUG